UNGAGGUGACGGCUCGUGUAGCCUAUAUAAUUCGCAUCACACGAGUUACAAUUAAAUUCAUACAUAACUCAUUGUUGGUUUACCAGUGAGGGCUUUGUUUUCGUGACUUUCACAUCUUCCGAGAUUUUCCUACUUGUGAAAACUGGUUGUAAUACACGAUCGAUGGUCGCUUAGUUGUGGGCGUUCGGAGUCGGCGGAUUUCUGGGUCUUUGAAAGGCAAGAUGAUUAGUACAGGGCUUUGGACUGGCUCAAUUCUGUUUUGGUUCUGGUCUUGGGAAGCGUGGAAUCUCUUGAAAGUAGAAUCAAUAAGUUUCUCAGGAAAUUUCAGUUUCAGAAACAUUGUUUUCAGAUCCUGAAAUUCUUCUGAAAAAGGGUCCGGUGAGGAUGACAAGCGGUUGGCGCGAUCAAGCAUAGUUCUCAUUGGCGAUCGUUUCCAUCUCUUAAGUCGUUUUAUCAGCAAAGGCUUGAGAAGUUCUGAAAAAUGAUCAGCUCAAGAGUCAACUGCCAUUUUACAUCCAGAAAACAACAACACCUUAUGACCGCUUCCCCCAUGUGAUCAACUUCUAGCAGUUAAAGGCGAGCAGUUCAACAACCUUCAACAGUUUCUUAUUAGGCACGCUGAGAUUAGAAGAAACACUGGCAAGAAAAUAAGCUGUGGUACUUAACAAUAUUGUAUUAAACCAGUUUAAAAUGGAGUCAUGUUACAACUUCAACAAAUGUUGUGAGAAAGUCUUCAGUAUGAAUUUAGUAAUUUCUAAAACACAUUAUUGACUUAAAAUGCAAUUUUUGAGAUAAUAAUGUCAUCAAUAUGUCAAUUUUGAUUUUUCCACAGCGUUUAGUUAGUUUCGGUUUAAUACGCCAUACGUACAGGUACAAUAGUUAAGUAAAAUUUCACAAAAUCUAUCUCAAGUGUUAAGGUCUAAGAGCUCAUUAAAGAAGUAACGACAAAAAGCUCCUAGAGCCCUCUGCAAUAUGAAUAACUAAAUUACAAAAUAAGAAGAUAUAAAGAAAGC